rnacentral:rRNA from 1 species
AUUGAACGCUGGCGGCAGGCCUAACACAUGCAAGUCGAGCGAGCGGCGGACGGGUGAGUAAUGUAUGGGGACUGCCCGAUCGAGGGGGAUAACUACUGGAAACGGUGGCUAAUACCGCAUACUAUCGGAUAACCCAUAUGGGAUUAGCUAGUAGGUGGGGUAAAGGCUCACCUAGGCGACGAUCGCUAGCUGGUCCGAGAGGUGGAUGUGCCACAUGGGAACUGGGAGAAGGCCCAGACUCCUACGGAGGCAGCAGUGGGGAAUAUUGCACAAUGGGCGCAAGCCUGAUGCAGCCAGGCCGCGGGUAUGAAGAAGGCCUUAGGGUUGUAAAGUACUUUCAGCGGGGAGGCGUUACCCGCAGAAGAAGCACCGGCUAACUCCGUGCCAGCAGCCGCGGUAAUUC